rnacentral:tRNA from 1 species
AGUUUUGUAUUCAAAAAUGAUUUUAAAUUGCAAAUUUAAAGGUGAUUAAUUAAUCCAAAACUU